rnacentral:tRNA from 1 species
GCGGGUGUAGCGCAGUGGUAGCGCAGGGGCUUCCCAAGCCUCGUGUCGCGGGUUCGAAUCCCGUCACCCGCU